UGGGCAACUUGCCCCUAGCUCCGGAAUAACCCGGGAAACCGAGGACUAAUACCGGAUACGACCCUGCGCGGCAUCUCGCGGGUGGAAAGUUUUCGGCUAGGGAUGGGCCCGCGGCCUAUCAGCUUGUUGGUGGGGUAAUGGCCUACCAAGGCGACAACGGGUAGCCGGCCUGAGAGGGUGACCGGUCACACUGGGACUGAGACACGGCCCAGACUCC
rnacentral:rRNA from 1 species